rnacentral:rRNA from 1 species
CCUACGGGUGGCAGCAGUGAGGAAUAUUGGUCAAUGGGCGGAAGCCUGAACCAGCAAAGUCGCGUGAGGGACGACGGUCCUAUGGUUUGUAAACCUCUUUUGUCGGGGAACAAAGGCGGCCACGUGUGGGCGGAUGAGUGUACCCUAAGAACAAGCAUGGGCUAACGCCGUGACAGAAGCCGCGUUAAUACGGAGGAUGCGAGCGGUAUGCGGAUUGAUGGGGGUUAAAGGGUGCGUAGGCGGACAGUCAAGGCAGCGGUAAAAAUGCGGUGCUCAACGCCGUACAGCAGUUGAAACUGGGAGUCUGGAGUGGGCGAGAAGUAUGCGGAAUGCGUGGUGUAGCGGUGAAAUGCAUAGAUAUCACGAAGAACACCGAUUGCGAAGGCAGCAUACCGGGGCGCUACUGACGCUGAGGCACGAAAGCGUGGGUAUCGAACAGGAUUAGAUACCCCUGUAGUC